GUAACAAGGUCUUCGUAGGUGAACCUGCGGAGGGAUCAUUA
rnacentral:rRNA from 1 species